rnacentral:pre_miRNA from 1 species
CCGUGCUUCUUCACUUCCCAUAUGUGGCAUUGUGCUGUAUGGAAUGUAAAGAAGUAUGGAG